CGGAUCCACUCCUCUCCCACACUCCCUCACCUCCCCCCUCCCUCCCCCUGCCCACGCCCCACAUACCUGGGCUCCUGCCCCUUCCACCCCUCUCUGCUCCCUCCCUGCCCCCUUCCCUUCCUCCCCUCCCCUUUAUCUCACCUUCACCCCCUUUCCUCCUACACCCCUUCCGUGUCCCCACCCCCUGCCCUCAGUCCUCCUUCCUCCUCUUCCCCACAUCCCACCUCUCCUUUCCCCCUCCUUGUAGGCCCUCUUUCUCCUCAGCCCCCCUCCCCCCGCCUUUAGUCUCCUACCUCCCCUACAGCCUCCUGCCCCCGCCUCCUCACAGCCCCCUACUUACCCUACUGCCUCCCUCCUGGGGCCCUUUCCUCCCCAAGGGCCCCUCUGUUUUCUCCCAUUCCAGCCCCUGACCAGGCCCUGCUCCUCUGCUGGGGUCGGCCCCGCACAGUAAGCUGCCUGGGAGCCCUCAUUGCCUUCCUGGGCAACCCGGCCAAAGGCCCCCCGAGCAGCUGCAGCCCUGGAGGUCAGCCUCACCCUGGCAGACCGCAGGGGCCCCUCCUCACCGCCGACCUCUGCACCUUCACCCGUUUGCCUGGUGUCUGAGGAAGGGCCCGCAGGAAGAGCAUUCCUUUCCCAGGGUCUUCCUCAGGAGGGAUGAGAGGAAGCAAAAGCUUGGUCUGCAAACGGGCUGGUCCUCCCGACGGCCACAUCCGCAGGAAUGACCCUCAGAGGGGCUCCCCAACUGGCUGGGAGAUUCGUCCAGCUGGGCGCUCUGCUACACAGCCCCGUCAAGGGCAAACAGAUGACAAAACUGAGACACAAAAGAUGAAUCAGCUUGGCAGUGUUCACAGAGCCAGCGUGUGGAAAAGCCAGAAUCCAGACCCAGACCCGAACUGCAGCGUCCCGGCUCUUACCCCUAACCAGCCAGUGCCUCUCAGCUUAGUGCUCUUCCACCCGGCUUUUCUUUCUAAAAACUGUUGCUCUCCUGAAAACCGUCUCGCUCAUUUUUGCCGGUUCCCAGUGCUGUGCGUCCUCAUCGCAUUGGUUCGUGCUCCAGGGCCCUGCCCACGCACAUAUGUGCUGCACUCCUUCCCUCCUGCCUCCUGCCUCUGUGUUGCCCUGGGGCUAACAGCUUAUGACUUGCCAAACAGAAUCAUAAGGAGAGGUGUGUGGCUGAUGUGGCAUCACGCAGGCUUGGAAAGGCCACUUGUUAUUGGGAUAAGCAGUAGGAAAUAGUGGCUGAGAUUGUGAGUAGGGGAGUAGAGGCCUCCACAGACUAAAAGAAAUGUCAGAAUAAAAUAAUAAUAUAGCUAAUAUUCAUGAAUACUUACUAAAUGCAAGGCUUUGUGCUAAGUAUUUUC
rnacentral:lncRNA from 1 species